UCACCCGAACCAAACUCUUCGGUCUCCACUCCAGCUCCGCUCUAACUAGCUUUGGUUAAGGGCAUACCAAACAAGCCACUAGGCAUGUAUUAUGCAAAUGUGUUACUUGGUGACAUCACCACAUUACGUAAAAGACUUUGCAGACCUUUUAGUUG